AGCGAACGCUGGCGGCAGGCUUAACACAUGCAAGUCGAGCGGGCGUAGCAAUACGUCAGCGGCAGACGGGUGAGUAACGCGUGGGAACGUACCUUUUGGUUCGGAACAACCCAGGGAAACUUGGGCUAAUACCGGAUAAGCCCUUACGGGGAAAGAUUUAUCGCCGAAAGAUCGGCCCGCGUCUGAUUAGCUAGUUGGUGAGGUAACGGCUCACCAAGGCGACGAUCAGUAGCUGGUCUGAGAGGAUGAUCAGCCACAUUGGGACUGAGACACGGCCCAAACUCCUACGGGAGGCAGCAGUGGGGAAUAUUGGACAAUGGGCGCAAGCCUGAUCCAGCCAUGCCGCGUGAGUGAUGAAGGCCCU
rnacentral:rRNA from 1 species